rnacentral:rRNA from 1 species
GACGAACGCUGGCGGCGUGCUUAACACAUGCAAGUCGAACGGUGAAGGGGUCUGCUUUUGUGGGCGCUGGCUGAGUGGCGAACGGGUGAGUAACACGUUAGUAACCUGCCCCCUUCUUCUGGAUAACCGCAUGAAAGUGUGGCUAAUACGGGAUAUUCUGGGUCUGUCGCAUGAUGGGUCUGGGAAAGAUUGCGCCUUUGGGUGUUUUUGGUGGGGGAUGGGCUCGCGGGCUAUCAGCUUGGUAGGGGGGUGAUGGCCUACCCAGACGGUUACGGGUAGCCGGACUGAGAGGGUGGAAGGUCACACUGGAACUGGGACACGGCCCAGACUACUAAGGGAGGCAGCAGUGGGGAAUAUUGGACAAUGGUCGGAAGUAUGAUGCAGCGACGGCGCGUGAGGGAUGGAGGCGUUCGGGUUGUAAUCCUCUUUUGAGAGUGAAGCAGGCCUGCUCCUUGUGGGUGGGUUGACGGUAGCUGGAGAUGAAGCGCCGGCUAACUACGUG